rnacentral:tRNA from 1 species
CAGGGAGACAACAAAAUGUUUAAUAUUAUAAUUUUGUCACCUUAGGUCGAUCGGUAUCUCACGUUCUUAAUUUAUUAAGAAUUUCAUUUCCUAAGUUUUUCUAGGUCACACCCAUUAUUUUCCUGGGCCAUUAGCUCAGGUGGUUAGAGCGCACCCCUGAUAAGGGUGAGGUCCCUGGUUCAAGUCCAGGAUGGCCCAUAUCUCUAUGCUGGGGGUAUAGCUCAGUUGGUAGAGCGCCUGCUUUGCAAGCAGGAUGUCAGCGGUUCGAGUCCGCUUACCUCCACUGAUCACCACCUCUUCCAUAAUCGAUAGAAAGGAAAUGUUUUGAGUUGUGAUCUAAUUCUGAACGAAUCUAGCUUCCUAAUGAAAUUAUUAAGAUGCUGGAUUCAUUGAAUUAAUUUCAUUGUUUUCAGAGAACCUUGACAACUGCAUAGAUUAUUUUUAAAGACAAUAAGCAUCUUUAACGAUGCAGAUUUAUUAUUUGUGCGAAUGCAUUAAUAACAAUUCUAUUAAGCUGAUGCUUCAAUUUUGAAGUUAUU